GUGUGGUUGAAGGUGCUCCGGCAAGUAGAACAUCGGUCCCAUUACAUUUCGCCAGACCACGGCCGAGUACUGGAGUCUGGGCCGAGUGAGGCUCCCAGUUAGGGCGGGUGUCCUAUGGAAAUGGAAGAAAACCGAGAGUUCAGCUCAGGUUGGUCCCAAGUUCUGUUUCCACCAUAAAAACAUGUGGAACUGAAAAGUGGGGGCGGGGGGCUGUGUGCCAAUGCAGCAAGCAGAUAUCUUGCCUAUACAGAAAGUGUUGGGGGCGAUCAGAAAAAACCAGAAGAAAAGGAAUUUGUAGUUGUUCGACCAGAUGAGAAUGGAUGGAGUUACCUUCAGCACCGCAAUCUAUAAGGGCUGAAACGACUAAAGAAUCCUGGUGACAGCCAACAAUGACGGGCAAGAAAAGUUAUUUCGAAACCAACCCCUUUGUGCUCUGCAGUCAUGGAGGAGAUGACCAGCACCACAACAGUACAGACACAGGCCCUUUGUCAGCUGACGAAGCCUCUCCUCCUUGGACAGAUGUGAACUGCAUGUCACACUUCCCUGGGCAGAAUAUGUUGGAAAUUCCCUGUUACAUUCCUUUACAGGUCUGUCACCUUUUCGAAGUGUGGUGGGCUAUCAACCCCCAUCUGUCAGGUGUAAUACUUGCCUUCGUCACCAGAGGUCAGCCUCCCCUGAGUACUCACUUGCUUCCUAGUGACACCUUGACCUCUCUCACCUGCAGCUCAUUAACCUCCCUUUAUAAGGACCUUCACUUACACUGGAUCUCUGUGAAGUAUUACCAGUUCAUCUGUGUACCAAGCCUUAUUUCUUCUCAUCUGUUGGAUUUUUAUUUUGAAUUGCCUGGAGCUUUUUUCUGAACACUGCUUUUUUGAACUCCCUUAGGUACCUUUGCUGUGUUGUGAUGUAUUCUGUUUUUUCCUUUUUGGACUGUCUCUGAUUGUGAUUUUUGAUGUGUUUUGAGUAAACAGGAAUUAAGGAUUCAAACCCA